UAGGGGGCCUACAAGCUUACCGACCCCAACCAAACUCCGAAUGCCAUGGCUCCAGAGCUCGGCAGUGAGACCACGGGGGAUGAGCUUCGUGGUCGAAAGGGAAACAGCCCAGAUCGCCGGCUAAGGCCCCUAAUUCCGAACUAAGUGGUAAACGAUGUGGGAUUGCCCAGACAGCCAGGAGGUUGGCUUAGAAGCAGCCACCCUUGAAAGAGUGCGUAACAGCUCACUGGUCGAGUGAUCCUGCGCGGACAAUGUAACGGGGCUCAAGUUCGGAGCCGAAGCCGCGGAUUUCAGCGCUUGCGCUGGAGUGGUAGGGGAGCGUCGAUCUCGGUGUGAAGCGACGGUGUGAACCGGCGUGGACCGUGGUCGAGUGAGAAUGCAGGCAUGAGUAGCGAAAGAGGGGUGAGAAACCCCUCCGCCGAAUGUCCAAGGGUUCCUGGGGAAGGCUAAUCCGCCCAGGGUGAGUCGGGAGCUAAGGCGAGGCCGACAGGCGUAGUCGAUGCACAACCGGUUGAUAUUCCGGUACCGCUGUGCCCGCGCCCAUGCCGAAUCUAGGUUGCUAAGGGGCUGUCUUCGGACGAACCGACCCACCUGGAGGAGGCAAGCGAUGCGGGGACGCAGGAGGGCAGGUGAGCCCAGGCGAUGGUUGUCCUGGGGUAAGCGUGUAGGUCGGGGACCAGGUAAGUCCGGGCCCCAUCAAGACCGAGACGUGAUACCGAGCCGUUUCAGGCGAAGUCACUAAUCCCAUGCUGCCAAGAAAAGCCGCUAGUGAGCUGGCACAGCGCCCGUACCCCAAACCAACACAGGUGGACAGGUAGAGAAUACCAAGGCGAUCGGGAGAACGGUGGUUAAGGAACUCGGCAAAAUACCUCCGUAACUUCGGGAGAAGGAGGGCCCCCCUAGGGUGACAGGCUUCGCGCCUCGAGCUCGACGGGGCCGCAGAGACCAGGGGAAAGCGACUGUUUACUAAAAACACAGCAGCGUGCUAAGUCGCAAGACGCUGUAUACGCUGUGACGCCUGCCCGGUGCCGGAAGGUUACGGGGAAGGGUUAGCCGCAAGGCGAAGCUCUGAACCUAAGCCCCGGUAAACGGCGGCCGUAACUAUAACGGUCCUAAGGUAGCGAAAUUCCUUGUCGGGUAAGUUCCGACCUGCACGAAUGGCGUAACGACUUUCCUACUGUCUCAACCACAGACCCGGCGAAAUUGAAGUACGAGUAAAGAUGCUCGUUAGCUGCAGCAGGACGGAAAGACCCCGUGGACCUUCACUACAGCUUGAUAUUGGGUUUUGGUAUGCGUUGUGUAGGAUAGGUGGGAGACUGGGAAGCAUUGGCGCCAGCCAGUGUGGAGUCAACGUUGAAAUACCACCCUGCGUAUGCCGGGACUCUAACCUGGGUCCGUGAUCCGGAUCGGGGACAGUGUCAGGUGGGUAGUUUGACUGGGGCGGUCGCCUCCUAAAGAGUAACGGAGGCGCCCAAAGGUUCCCUCAGCCUGGUUGGCAAUCAGGCGUCGAGUGCAAUGGCACAAGGGAGCUUGACUGCGAGACAAACACGUCAAGCAGGUGCGAAAGCAGGACAUAGUGAUCCGGCGGUUGCGUGUGGAAGCGCCGUCGCUCAACGGAUAAAAGGUACCCCGGGGAUAACAGGCUCAUCUUCCCCAAGAGUCCAUAUCGACGGGAAGGUUUGGCACCUCGAUGUCGGCUCAUCGCAUCCUGGGGCUGAAGCAGGUCCCAAGGGUUGGGCUGUUCGCCCAUUAAAGCGGUACGCGAGCUGGGUUUAGAACGUCGCGAGACAGUUCGGUCCCUAUCCGCUGCAGCCGGAGGGAACUUGAGGAAGGCUGUCCCUAGUACGAGAGGACCGGGACGGACGCAGCUCUCGUGUGCCAGUUGUUCUGCCAAGAGCACUGCUGGUUAGCGACCUGCGGAAGGGAUAAGCGCUGAAAGCAUCUAAGUGCGAAGCCCGUUCCAAGAUGAGGUUCCCCACAGGGUCAACCUGGUAAGGCCCGUGGUAGAUCACCACGUUGAUAGGCCGGAGGUGGAAGCACGGCAACGUGUGAAGCCGACCGGUACUAAUCGGCCGAGGGCUUGGAUUU
rnacentral:rRNA from 1 species